UCUAGAACUCGAGAUAUGGGUUGAACACUAAAAAGUGUCUGGGUUACAGGACAGAUUUAGAUUUAUCUUUUGUUGCUAAUAUCUGAGCUUGAAAACAGUGGUUUUGAAUCUUGGACUCUUCAUAAAUGUUUUAGGCCUAUGUCUUCGCUUUUCAGU
rfam:Populus trichocarpa scaffold_17_contig_324, whole genome shotgun sequence.